AACGAACGCUGGCGGCAGGCCUAACACAUGCAAGUCGAACGCUCCGCAAGGGGAGUGGCGCACGGGUGAGUAACACGUGGGAACCUACCUUCUGGUACGGAACAACCAAGGGAAACUUUGGCUAAGACCGUAUACGACCUCCGGGUGAAAGAUUGAUCGCCGGAAGAGGGGCCCGCGUCCGAUUAGGUAGUUGGUGAGGUAACGGCUCACCAAGCCUUCGAUCGGCAGCUGGUCUGAGAGGAUGACCAGCCACACUGGGACUGAGACACGGCCCAGACUCCUACGGGAGGCAGCAGUGGGGAAUAUUGGACAAUGGGCGCAAGCCUGAUCCAGCCAUGCCGCGUGAGUGAUGAAGGCC
rnacentral:rRNA from 1 species